rnacentral:rRNA from 1 species
CGAUCUGGCUCAGAUUGAACGCUGGCGGGAUGCUUUACACACAUGCAAGUCGAACGGCAGCACGGACUUCGGUCUGGUGGCGAGUGGCGAACGGGUGAGUAAUGUAUCGGAACGUGCCUUGCGGCUGAAGCGGGAUAACUACGCGAAAGCGUGGCUAAUACCGCAUACGCCCUUCGGGGAAAGCAGAGGACCUUCGGGCCUCACUAUUAGAGCGGCCGAUAUCGGAUUAGCUAGUUGGUGGGGUAACGGCUCACCAAGGCGACGAUCCGUAGCUGGUUUGAGAGGACGACCAGCCACACUGGGACUGAACACGGCCCAGACUCCUACGGGAGGCAGCAGUGGGAAUUUUUGGACAAUGGGGAAACCCUGAUCCAGCCAUCCCGCGUGUGCGAUGAAGGCCUUCGGGUUGUAAAGCACUUUUGGCAGGAAAGAAACAGCACGGGAUAAUACCCGAUGCAGCUGACGGUACCUGCAGAAUAAACACCGGCUAACUACGUGCCAGCAGCCGCGGUAAUACGUAGGGUGCAAGCGUUAAUCGGAAUUGCACAGGCACGUAAAGCGUGCGCGGGCGGUUCGGAAAGAAAGAUGUGAAAUCCCGAGCUUAACUUUGGAACUGCAUUUUUAACUACCGAGCUAGAGUGUGUCAGAGGAGGUGGAAUUCCGCGUGUAGCAGUGAAAUGCGUAGAUAUGCGGAGGAACACCCGAUGGCGAAGGCCAGCUCUGGGGAUAACAUGACGCUCAUGCACGAAAGCGUGAGGCAAACAGGAUUAGAUACCCUGAGUAGUCCUCGCCCUAAACGAUGUCAACUAGCUGUUGGGGCCUUCGGGCCUUGGUAGCGCGGCUAACGCGUGAAGUUGACCACCUGGGGAGGCGGUCGCAAGAAUUAAAACUCAAAGGAAUUGACAGGGACCCGCACAAGCGGUGGAUGAUGUGGUUAAUUCGAUGCAACUGCAAAACCUUACCUACCUUGACAAUAUCUGGAAUCCCGAAGAGAUUUGGGAGUGCUCGCAAAGGAGCGGAACACAGGUGCUGCAUGGCUGUCGUCAGCUCUCGUGUCGUGAGAUGUUGGGUUAAGUCCCGCAACGAGCGCAACCCUUGUCAUUAGUUGCUUUACGAAAAGGAGCACUCUAAUGAGACUGCCGGUGACAAACGGAGGAAGGUGGGGAUGACGUCAAGUCCUCAUGGCCCUUAUGGUGAGGGCUUCACACGUCAUACAAUGGUCGGGACAGAGGGUCGCCAACCCGCGAGGGGGAGCCAAUCCAGAAACCCGAUCGUAGUCGGAUCGCAGUCUGCAACUCGACUGCGUGAAGUCGGAAUCGCUAGUAAUCGCGGAUCAGCGUGUCGCGGUAGAUACGUUCCCGGGUCUGUCUACACCGCCAUCUGCACAUGGGAGUGGGUUUUGAUAGUUAUAAUACAAUAACCGUAAAGGAGGGCGAUUACCACGGUAGGAUUCAUGACUGGGGUGAAGUCGUAACAAGGUAG